UACGUAGGGGGCAAGCGUUGUCCGGAAUCAUUGGGCGUAAAGAGCGUGUAGGCGGUCCGGUAAGUCGGCUGUGAAAGUCCAGGGCUCAACCCUGGGAUGCCGGUCGAUACUGCCGGACUAGAGUUCGGAAGAGGAGAGUGGAAUUCCUGGUGUAGCGGUGAAAUGCGCAGAUAUCAGGAGGAACACCGGUGGCGAAGGCGGGUCUCUGGGCAGUAACUGACGCUGAGGAGCGAAAGCGUGGGGAGCGAACAGG
rnacentral:rRNA from 1 species